CCUUUGACGUUAGCGGCGGACGGGUGAGUAACACGUGGGUAACCUACCUAUAAGACUGGGAUAACUUCGGGAAACCGGAGCUAAUACCGGAUAAUACUUCGAACCGCAUGGUUCGAUAGUGAAAGAUGGUUUUGCUAUCACUUAUAGAUGGACCCGCGCCGUAUUAGCUAGUUGGUAAGGUAACGGCUUACCAAGGCGACGAUACGUAGCCGACCUGAGAGGGUGAUCGGCCACACUGGAACUGAGACACGGUCCAGACUCCUACGGGAGGCAGCAGCC
rnacentral:rRNA from 1 species